AGGGAAAGAGCCAAUCCACCGAACCACCAGGAAAUCAAUUUAUUAAAACAAGGUAUUUAUGACCACCUGUCUUAGCCCGACCACCAUCCCCAACCCUGUCACAGCCCCCACCACACCCUGUCACCCCACACCCUACUCUGUGGGGUUGUUUGGACUUAUGGGUAGCCUUUCUGGGUGCCUCUCCCGGCGGGUCCACAGCAGGACGCGAUAGAGGCGUCGUUGAGCCCGAAAAAUGCCCGUCCGAAGGACGUGGCAAUAGGGCUUGAGAAAUAG